rnacentral:rRNA from 1 species
CGAAGCAACGCGAAGAACCUUACCAGGUCUUGACCAUCCCCUGGACCAACCCGAGAGAUCGGGCGUUCCCCUUCGGGGGACAGGGUGACAGGUGGUGCAUGGUUGUCGUCAGCUCGUGUCGUGAGAUGUUGGGUUAAGUCCCGCAACGAGCGCAACCCUCGACCUUAGUUGCCAGCAUUCAGUUGGGCACUCUAAGGUGACUGCCGGCUAAAAGUCGGAGGAAGGUGGGGAUGACGUCAAAUCAUCAUGCCCCUUAUGACCUGGGCUACACACGUGCUACAAUGGGCGGUACAAAGGGUCGCGAACCCGCGAGGGGGAGCCAAUCCCAAAAAGCCGCUCUCAGUUCGGAUUGCAGGCUGCAACUCGCCUGCAUGAAGCCGGAAUCGCUAGUAAUCGCGGAUCAGCAUGCCGCGGUGAAUACGUUCCCGGGCCUU